AGCAUUCAUCAACUUUCCCACCAAGCAAUGGGUAUUAUGGUCCUUGCCCAAGGACCCUUAGUGAUUUUCCAGUCAUGCUGGGAUUUGAUCCGAGGAACCUCUGGUCCAAAGCCCAAUGUUUAACUACUAGACCAUCACCUCCCC